GAUACAAUGUUAUGGGAGUAUAUACGACUAAAGAAAACAGACUCUGAAUCCAGCUUUCAGAUAGUUGGAGAGGCCUUUAUAGAGCAAUCUCAAAACGGGUUGAACUGCCUUGGGAAGUGGGAGGCUCCUGCUCACUAGGGAUCCUUCAGGAGGGGCUGGAUGGCUACUAUAGAAGGAUUUCUCACUCCUAUUCAUUGUAGCUAGAUGGUGCCUGAGCCAAGCUGCCUUCCAAAUCCGCCACUCUGGGAUUUUUUCUGAAUUGCUUUGUACCUGCAUUAUGUGAGGCUCUUCUCACAAGAACUCCUUCUGCUGACCCAUCGCCGAUCUUCUAUCCUCAACCUGGCUCAAGCACCAUCUUUUACAUGAAUUCUUCCCUGAUCACUUUGGAUAUUGGAUAUUCUAAAGCUGGAAAGCCCCUGCAAGGACGUCCCUCCUCCUCGUCACAAUGAGGAGACUGAAACCCAAGGGCAGCAAAUGACUUACAUAGGUCACAAAAGUCAUGUGCAUCAAAGGCAGGAUUGGAAUCCAUGCCCACUGACUCCAUUGUACUGUAGUUGGAUUGGGCUGAAUCGACAAGACAUUACCAGGGGCUCUGGCUGCUGGCUUAGUCUUCAAAAACACAGAGCCAACUCCAUGCAUCACCAAGGUCCUGGCGGAGAAUUUCACGAAGCUUAAAGUCAGCAACAUCAGGGAACUGGACACUUGUAAUAUGCAGGGCACUAUACUGAGUCCUGGGACUACAAAGGGGUACAUGACAUAAUCCUUUUCCUGGAGAGAUUUACAAUCCAAGUGCAUAGGCAGGAUAGAGACAUAAGGAGAAGAAUUAAUAGUAUAUGGGAAUAUAAAGCUAGGUGCCCAGGGAGGGGUACAGACAAACGGUAUUACAGGCAGGGGUGUCCUAGAGCCUGUUUGAACUGGCUAGCAAGAGCCGAUUGUUAAAUUUUCAGUGUAGGCAUUUACAUCUUGGAAAUGGGCCAGGGUUUGAUUUAUUGUUCUGCUGAUCAUCUAAUGAUAAAAGUGAUGGAAAUAAUGACACAGAUUAAAUUUAG